UACGAAGGGGGCUAGCGUUGCUCGGAAUUACUGGGCGUAAAGCGCACGUAGGCGGGUCGUUAAGUCGGGGGUGAAAUCCUGGAGCUCAACUCCAGAACUGCCUUCGAAACUGACGAUCUUGAGUUCGGGAGAGGUAAGUGGAAUUCCGAGUGUAGAGGUGAAAUUCGUAGAUAUUCGGAAGAACACCAGUGGCGAAGGCGG
rnacentral:rRNA from 1 species